UACGGGGGGGGCAAGCGUUGUUCGGAAUUACUGGGCGUAAAGGGCCAGUAGGCGGCCAACUAAGUCGGAUGUGAAAUCCCCGGGCUCAACCUGGGAAUUGCAUUCGAUACUGGAUAGCUAGAGUUCGGCAGAGGGAAGCGGAAUUUCUGGUGUAGCGGUGAAAUGCGUAGAUAUCAGAAGGAACAUCAGUGGCGAAAGCGGCUUCCUGGACCAGAACUGACGAUCAGGCUCGAAAGCGUGGGGAGCAAACAGG
rnacentral:rRNA from 1 species